ensembl:lncRNA
AUGUAUAUACUGUAUUGUAUUCUAGACUACACCCCUGUGUCACGACUCCCGCCUACUUGUGUAGCCCGCCCUUGUUUGUGCGGGAUUAAUUUUAGUUCACGUCUUGUAUCGGAGGUGUUAUUGUGCUCCGGACCGUUGCCACCCUGUGUUUGGGUUGGUCUGUGUUUUCCGGCCUGUGUUUUUGGGUUGGUCUGUGUUUUCUGGCCUGUGUUUUUGGGUUGGUCUGUGUUUUCCACCCUGUGUUUUGGGUUGGUCUGUGUUUUGGGUUGGUCUGUGUUUUCCGGCCUGUGUUUGGGUUGGUCUGUGUUUUCCGCCCUGUGUUUUGGGUUGGUCUGUGUUUUGGGUUGGUCUGUGUUUUCCGGCCUGUGUUUUGGGUUGGUCUGUGUUUUCCACCCUGUGUUUUGGGUUGGUCUGUGUUUUCCGCCCUGUGUUUUGGGUUGGUCUGUGUUUUCCGCCCUGUGUUUUGGGUUGGUCUGUGUUUUCCGCCCUGUGUUUUGGGUUGGUCUGUGUUUUCCGCCCUGUGUUUUGGGCUGGUCUGUGUUUUGGGUUGGUCUGUGUUUUCCGCCCUGUGUUUUGGGUUGGUCUGUGUUUUGGGUUGGUCUGUGUUUUCCGCCCUGUGUUUUGGGUUGGUCUGUGUUUUCCACCCUGUGUUUUGGGUUGGUCUGUGUUUUGGGUUGGUCUGUGUUUUCCGGCCUGUGUUUGGGUUGGUCUGUGUUUUCCGCCCUGUGUUUUGGGUUGGUCUGUGUUUUGGGUUGGUCUGUGUUUUCCGGCCUGUGUUUUGGGUUGGUCUGUGUUUUCCACCCUGUGUUUUGGGUUGGUCUGUGUUUUCCGCCCUGUGUUUUGGGUUGGUCUGUGUUUUCCACCCUGUGUUUUGGGUUGGUCUGUGUUUUGGGUUGGUCUGUGUUUUCCGCCCUGUGUUUGGGUUGGUCUGUGUUUUCCGCCCUGUGUUUUGGGUUGGUCUGUGUUUUCCGGCCUGUGUUUUGGGUUGGUCUGUGUUUUCCGGCCUGUGUUUUGGGUUGGUCUGUGUUUUCCGCCCUGUGUUUUGGGUUGGUCUGUGUUUUCCGGCCUGUGUUUUGGGUUGGUCUGUGUUUUCCACCCUGUGUUUUGGGUUGGUCUGUGUUUUGGGUUGGUCUGUGUUUUCCGCCCUGUGUUUGGGUUGGUCUGUGUUUUCCGCCCUGUGUUUUGAGUUGGUCUGUGUUUUGGGUUGGUCUGUGUUUUCCGGCCUGUGUUUUGGGUUGGUCUGUGUUUUCCGCCCUGUGUUUUGGGUUGGUCUGUGUUUUCCGCUCUGUGUUUUGGGUUGGUCUGUGUUUUCCGCCCUGUGUUUUGGGCUGGUCUGUGUUUUGGGUUGGUCUGUGUUUUCCGGCCUGUGUUUUGGGUUGGUCUGUGUUUUCCGGCCUGUGUUUUGGGUUGGUCUGUGUUUUCCGGCCUGUGUUUUGGGUUGGUCUGUGUUUUCCGCCCUGUGUUUUGGGUUGGUCUGUGUUUUCGCCCUGUGUUUUGGGCAUGACCAUUUUGUGCCGGAUUAAAGUGCAUUUCUCCGUGAACCCUCUGCUCUCUGCGCCUGAUUCCUACCUUCCCCUCCUAGUCAGCCGUGACACACUGGCUGUCAAACAGCCAUCUCCAGCACAUCAGAGGCUGCUGCCUAUAGACAGAUUAGGAAUCACUGGACAUUUUUAA